GACGAACGCUGGCGGCGUGCUUAACACAUGCAAGUCGAACGGAAAGGCCCUGCUUUUGUGGGGUGCUCGAGUGGCGAACGGGUGAGUAACACGUGAGUAACCUGCCCUUGACUUUGGGAUAACUUCUGGAAACUGGGGCUAAUACCGGAUAGGAGCUCCUGCUGCAUGGUGGGGGUUGGAAAGUUUCGUCGGUUGGGGAUGGACUCGCGGCCUAUCAGCUUGUUGGUGGGGUAGUGGCUUACCAAGGCUUUGACGGGUAGCCGGCCUGAGAGGGUGACCGGCCACAUUGGGACUGAGAUACGGCCCAGACUCCUACGGGAGGCAGCAGUGGGGAAUAUUGCACAAUGGGCGGAAGCCUGAUGCAGCAACGCCGCGUGCGGGAUGACGGCCUUCGGGUUGUAAACCGCUUUCGCCUGUGACGAAGCGUGAGUGACGGUAAUUGGUAAAGAAGCACCGGCUAACUACGUG
rnacentral:rRNA from 1 species